rnacentral:rRNA from 1 species
UACGUAGGGUGCGAGCGUUUGUCCGGAAUUACUGGGCGUAAAGAGCUCGUAGGUGGUUUGUCGCGUUGUUCGUGAAAACUCACAGCUCAACUGUGGGCGUGCGGGCGAUACGGGCAGACUGGAGUACUGCAGGGGAGACUGGAAUUCCUGGUGUAGCGGUGGAAUGCGCAGAUAUCAGGAGGAACACCCGUGGCGAAGGCGGCUCUCUGGGACGGUACUGACGCUGAGACGCGAAAGCGUGGGGAGCGAACAGG